UGUACCAGCAAAGGCAUAGGAGUCUGAGAGUCUGCGAGAUUCUCAUAGAUGUGGUUGCACCUGGCAAGGAGCCCAGCUGCAGAAAUAAGCAGGCAAACGCGAGUUUCUGAGCCAGUUCCAGCCCGGCCCAGAUGUUGGCCCCUGACAACUAGCUGUGGCUGGUGCGGAGGGAGGAGCGAGGGAAGAGGGGCAGAUCGAGGCUGCCAGGUGAGCAUCCUCCAUACAGCUCCUGCUUUUCUGCUACAACCCCAGUCCCGUCCAGCCCGGAUGACCGGGGAGGCUCACUAUUGGGUUAUAACAACCAUUCCCUCGCCCCGACUCAUUCCUGCGGACCACGGCCGGAAUCCUGAACUGCCCCUCUUUGCCUGUAACUGUUUGCAACACAGUCCCCAUCUCCGAAUAACCAAAUUUUCUCCUUUAAUGAAGGGUUGCUAAAGUCAAGGUCAAUCACAAUGAUGAAUCAUUUCCUUGGGGGCUUCUCUGAUUCCCCACCCGGCCGCCCCUUCGUUCCACACUUUCCCUUUCAAGCAUACUCAAACUCCAGGUUUCCACCUGCGGCCGCUGCCACGCUGGCUCUCCCACACUCACUCCCGCCCUCCAGCUGCUAUAGCUAAAAUCUGGAGCCACGGAGUUCACUUUUCUAUAGAAGACAAAGCUGAGCAUGCUCAGUGGCCAAGGCAAAGUUUGGUCGGAAACUAGUUUUUGCAUUAGACUCUCCAUGGGCUCCAUAGACUCUCCUGUACCUUACGACUAGGCACAGGAGCGUUUCCCCGGUGAAAUGGAGAAGAGGACACUUGGUCUUUUCAACUUUACUAGGAGGGCUCCUUUCUUCCCAGUCCGUAAGGAGGGGUCUGACUUUCAUUUCCACCCCAGCAUUAUCACCUUAACUCUCAUUCCAGUCAAUCCCGAAACUCCGUUGCCCUACCCACUUCACCCUUCUUUUGUUUGUCCUGAUUUGAUUCCUGCGUUCUCACAGAGGGCUACCUGGACUUUGAACCUCCACCCCCCUUUCUACAUUCUUGCAUUCCAGAAACAUAUGAAGCUCAUUUCUGCCACCCUUCCUAGAAAACUGGUUCCUGACAGAGACAUGUGGAAAGGUAAGUAAACCUGGGCCCAAGAUCACAGAGCACACAGCUGGAAUUCACAGCAAGACCUGAUUGACUUCGAAGUCAGUGGUCUUUCCCCUGCUUCCCACGAGACAGGUUACUACAUGAAGAGCUGGGACUGGAAUACAGGUUUUCUAUGUUCACCUGGGGAUAGCUUUUCCAUCAUCCCUCCUGAGUCUGUGAGGUAUCCCAGUUUUUAAGCCAGAACUUUGAAACCAGAAGUAAAUGGUUAAGUUUAUCUGUCUAUGCCUAUGUGUAUUCUAGCCAAAUAAACCAUGACACUUAAAACAAUUUCAAUAUUUCAAAGAUGUAGUAAAU
rnacentral:lncRNA from 1 species